rnacentral:rRNA from 1 species
CUGAACACGCCCGAUCUCGUCCGAUCUCGGAAGCUAAGCAGGGUCGGGCCUGGUUAGUACUUGGAUGGGAGACCGCCUGGGAAUACCAGGU